GGUCAGGACGAACGCUGGCGGCGUGCUAACACAUGCAAGUCGAGCGGACUUAUGGACCAGCUUGCUGGGAAGGUAAGUAGCGGCGGACGGGUGAGUAACGCGUGAGCAACCUGUCCCUCACAGGGGGGAUAAGACCGCGAAAAGUGGUUCUAAUACCGCAUAAGACCGCGACAGGGCAUCCUGUUGAGGUCAAAGGAGCAAUCCGAUGAGGGGUGGGCUCGCGUCCGAUUAGAUAGUUGGUGAGGUAACGGCCCACCAAGUCGACGAUCGGUAGCCGACCUAAGAGGGUGAUCGGCCACAUUGGGACUGAGACACGGCCCAGACUCCUACGGGAGGCAGCAGUGGGGAAUAUUGGGCAAUGGGCGAAAAAGCCUGACCCAGCAACGCCGCGUGAAGGAAGAAGGUCUUCGGAUCGUAAACUUCUGUCCCAGGGGAAGAGGAGAAGACUGUACCCUGGGAGGAAGCCCCGGCUAACUACGUGCCAGCCGCCGC
rnacentral:rRNA from 1 species